AGAGCAGAGAGAACUCGGGAUAUUUCAAAAGCAGCAGAAAGGUUGGCAGAAGCUGGAGCAACAGCGGGCGCUCACUCCGCUCCCGGGAUUUGAACCUGCGACUUUUCGGUCUCAGUUACUUUAUCGGGGAAUACCAGAAGGGGAGAUGAGAAGGCCAUUCAAUCAGUUCUGCCAGAAGACCAGACCGGCUAUGUGAAAACUACAAGCUUUUGUUCCUUUUGACUACAGCUGAGAUAGGACUUUGAGGCUUUGGAUUGCGUGUCCUUCUGCUUGUGUCUGGUCUCUAUAAUCAAUUUUAAUUACAGGAAAGGGAAG
rnacentral:lncRNA from 1 species